AAAUUCAUGAGCUGGAAUGUGCUUCGGGUCAAGAAAAGAAGAAAAUCAUGAGCUGGAAUGUGCUUUGGGUCAAGAAAAGAAAAUUCAUGAACUGGAAUGUGCUUCGGGUCAUGUCAAGAAGAAAAUUCAUGAGCUGGAAUGUGCUUCGGGUCAAGAAAAGAAGAAAAUCAUGAGCUGGAAUGUGCUUUGGGUCAAGAAAAGAAAAUUCAUGAACUGGAAUGUGCUUCGGGUCAAGACAAGAAGAAAAUUCAUGAACUGGAAUCAGAGCUAGCAGGAUAUAAGAAACUUGUUAAAAGAAAAGAAACAAAGUUAGAUGAGCACAGAAGUGGAGACCUUUGUUUCCAUGGAGAUACAAAUUCCAGUGCACUUGAAGUGAAUAUUCCAAAUACCAGGCUAAUCUACAAGGUAAUUUCUUAGUAGUUUUGGGAACAAUAACUACUUAGUUUGGGGAACUAUAUAUCAUUGCAUUUUAAUCAGUGAAGGGAAGGAUAUUUUUUGACUUUUAUUUGAUAUAAUCACUCCUUUUCAAUUCAAAGGGUAUCUUGUUGUUUUAAGCCCUGGCCAAUGAUACAAAGCCAACAUACAGACCAUCACAUAACCUCAAAUCAUGUGUAUGAAAUGAAUUUUGGGAUGUUGGUUGCAUCUUUAUUAAAAUAGUUUACGUAGGUUGAAAUUCAGUCAUUUAAAAUGUGCAAUUUGGUUGCAUUCAGUAUAUUCAGAGUCAUCACCCCAAUUUCAGGAAAUUCUUUCAUUCUAAAAAGAAAAUUCAGACCUUUCAACCAUUGCCUACCUCUUUCCUGGCUCACUGUUAAAGAACCAGUGAUAUACUUUGUAGAUUGUGUUCUUCUGGACAUUUUGUAUCAAAAUACUCAAUAUGUGUCCUGGCUUCUUUUGGGACUGCCUUCUUUCACUUAGCAGGUUCUCAAGAUUCAUUCAUUUUGUAGGUAUCUGUACUUUAUUUUCUCUUCUAAGUAAUGUCCUCUUGUGUGUAUUUUUAAUUCAUCAAGCAGUUGAUGGACUUGCAGUAGUUUCCAUUUCAACAGUUAUUCAUACUGCUGUGCAAAUACAUGUACAGCAUUUUGUGUGUGCCUGCUUUCAUUUCUCUUGGCUUCUGUGUGGAGUCAUGUGGUAACUCUCUGUGCUUAACCUUUGGAGAAACUAGCAGUGCCGGUCCAUUUUCCAAACUUAUUGCACCAUUUCACCUUCUUCCAGCAUUGUAUGAGAGUUACAGCAUCUCUGUAUCCUUGCCAAGAGUUUUUAUUCUUUUUGGUUGAAAGAUUCCAUGCAAAUGAAGUGAAAUCUGAUUGUGACUUUCCCUUGCAUUUGCAUUUUACUUUUAUAAUGCAACUUCCCUAUUGGUGAGUAAGGGCGUGGUGUUGGGCAUAUGUGUUUUCACAAGCCGAUUGACAUUUGUGUAUCUUCAUUGGACAAAUGUAUACUUCAGUUAUUUCUGCAUUUUCAGUUUGAGUUACCUUUUCCCUUUUCCUUUUUUUUGAGACAGGGUCUUACUGUGUAGCUCAGGCUUUCCUUGAAGUCCUGAAAAACAUCUGGCCUCAGCCUUUGGAGGGAUUCCAGGUGUAUGCCACCAUGCUCAGCUUUGGGUUAUCUUUUCUGCUUUUUGAGUCCUUUAUAUAUCCAAAAUAUAAAUCCUUUAUCAGAUACACGAUUGUCAGAUAUUUUCUGUCACUCCGUGGCUUACCACUUCACUUUCUAGUCCUGUUGGACCCUGUAAGUGUCAGUUCUUGCGGUAGGACUACUUUGUCUUUACUCCUAUGGAGAUAUUUUUCUUUCUGUAGGACACUGGCCAGUUCAUGUCUUGCUGACUCCAUGACAUGAAGGGAAGUCAGGCUGACAAAGCAGAGCCCAUUGCUGUCCUUUUCUCCAUGCAAACUUUUCAUCUUCCAUCCAGGGCAUCCUUCGUAUCUCCCAUUCCUCCAUCUUAGCAGAGCAUCUGCUAACUCAGAAUGCUAUUCACUGCAUGUUUCAUUAACUCUUUGUCAUUCACAGUUAUCUCUAGAUUGUUAACAACUAGGAGGGGGGAAAUGAAGCUAGAAGGGGAUAGCCUUUUUCUUUAGAAAUUGAGCCAACUGUCACCUUACAGUUCACAGUCCCAUCCUCAUUUGCCCUGCUAUUGGUUCAUGUGUACCACACUGGGGCUGAUUUUUUGGGGGCACAGAUUCUACAUGCCAGAAACCACAGUUUCAUGCAUACACAUAUCUCCUUUCCCAUAAGCAGAGAUGCCUAACCUUGCUUUAUCCUUCAAUAAACAUGUUGUUUACUUUUCUCUUAUUUCUGAGACAAAAUACUCAACCCUAAUAAUUCAGGGAGGAAAGAUUCAUUUAUCUCAGAGUUUGUGGAGGGUUCAGUCCAUAAUCAUCUGGCUCAAGGACAGAGUGACAUGGCAAAGGGGCAAGAGUUCCACUUGACAGGAGACAGCAAGAGCUUCAUUGAGCCAAAGAAUAAAGAGUAAGCCUCUUUCCCUCCCUUGUAUUGUAAUCAGACUACCACUCCCGAGAGUGGGUAUAGCAUUCACACCAUCUCCGUGCCCUCUUGUACAGGAUGAGCAUGUUUACACAGUGAGGACAUGGAGCUUCUGUUGAGUCACUUCCUUAAAUGUCUAAAUUUCUCAAGUUAAAACAGUGUAUCAGCCACUGCAACCAUUACCAGUCAUUACAGGGCUCAUGGAUUAAACAGUUCAGCCCAAGAAUAAUUUUUCAAGAGUAUAGUUCAUAAAAAUCAAGCAGUGUUCAGGCAGUUUGACAAAGACAGAUAGUAGUCAAAGUAGUGAUAUGAAUUUAAAAUUCCAAAGCCUAUUUGUAUCCCAUGGGGAAAUGUUGUUAUAUGGUCUUCUGCAUGUGAACACACUUGAACAGGUUAAAGAAAAGCUGUAUUUCUUUUCUUCCCUUUCUAAGGACACUACAUUUGUUGUACUUCUGAGAUUAAAAAUUGCUCCACAGUGUUCCUUUUUCCUCAUUAAAGAAAGGAAAAUAAAGUUUUAAUACCAAAUUACUAAGCAUACAGAAGUACCUGUUUUAGAACCCAGUAGUUGAAAUCUUUAUAUCUGAUUUUGAGUAUUAAACCAAAUAAUUUUGUUGCUUUUCAACUAUUAUUUUUCAUGUGCUUUCCAUUCUUUCAUGUCUCCUAACUGAUCAGAAAGUCCAAAGAAACCAGUUUUCCUCCUAGUAAUAACCUACAACUGAAAGGAACUUUAGAAAGCCUUCUUCCUCAGUCAUCUCAACAUUUAUCUUCUAUUCAAGCUGAUCAUAUUAGCACUGUUAUUGAUAAAUGAGCCUCAUUAUUUGUGAGAACCUACUAGGGGGCUAAUUUCUGAUUAAUUUUUUUUCUUCUUGUCUGUUUUUUUUUUUUUUUUUUCUUUUUCUUUUCCUUUUUAUCGGUACCGGGAAUUGAACUCAUGACUGCCUGCUUGCAAGGCAGGCACUUAUGCCGCUGAGCUAAAUCCCCAGCCCUCUUCUUGUCUGUUUUUAAAAACUUCUUUUUUUCCCCUCCUUGUACAUGAAACUUAUGCUGGAUUGUAGUAAAUUACCCCCAAUUUAGUAGUUUAAGACAGUAUUUAUCUUCUGCCCAACACUAGGGCUUGAGAGCAGCUUGGUGAGGACAACAUGUCUCUGCUUCCCUAAGCUCAUUGGUGCAAGCUGGAGGCUGCAGAUCUGGAAUAUCGAGGGCUGGUUCACUGAUGGGUCUGAGUGUGGUGGCCAUGGGCUGGAACCAUAUCCGAGACAGGCAGGUGCUCUAAGUGUCUUCCUCCGCAUCUGGUCAACAGUGUGAGACAGCAUUCUUCACCUAGUUUGGGAAGCCACAAGACAUCACUUUUAGCACACACUAGUCAGUAGAAACAAGACAAAGGUUGACUUACAUGUUAUCUAAUAGAAUAUUGUAAAAAACAUGUCCUAAAACCAGUACACUUUACAAACCAGCUAUAAUGUUUUUUUUUUAUUUAAAGAGAAAAAAGAAAGGAAACAAACAAACAAAAAAAAAAAAACAAAGCAGUAAC
ensembl:lincRNA